rnacentral:rRNA from 1 species
GACGGAGGAUGCAAGCGUUAUCCGGAAUGAUUGGGCGUAAAGCGUCCGCAGGUGGCAGUUCAAGUCUGCUGUCAAAGACCGGGGCUUAACUUCGGAAAGGCAGUGGAAACUGAACAGCUAGAGUAUGGUAGGGGCAGAGGGAAUUCCUGGUGUAGCGGUGAAAUGCGUAGAUAUCGGGAGGAACACCAAUGGCGAAGGCAGCUUGCUGGGACGGUACUGACGCUGAGGCGCGAAAGCGUGGGGAGCAAACAGG